UUCCAGCUCCAAUAGCGUAUAUUAAAGUUGCUGCAGUUAAAAAGCUCGUAGUUGAAUUUCGGGACCAAUAUGUCGGUCGUGCUUUUGUACGUACUGAUAUAAUUGGUUUCUCCCUUCUGAAGAACCUUGAUGUCAUUAAUUUGGUGUCUUGGGGAAUCAGGACUGUUACUUUGAAAAAAUUAGAGUGUUUAAAGCAGGCUCGCGCUUGAAUACAUUAGCAUGGAAUAAUGAAAUAGGACGUUCGAUCCUAUUUUGUUGGUUUCUAGGAUUGACGUAAUGAUUAAUAGGGAUAGUUGGGGGCAUUAGUAUUCAAUUGUCAGAGGUGAAAUUCUUGGAUUUAUUGAAGACUAACUACUGCGAAAGCAUUUGCCAAGGGUGUUUUCAUUAAUCAAGAACGAAAGUUAGGGGAUCGAAGACGAUCAGAUACCGUCGUAGUCUUAACCAUAAACUAUGCCGACUAGGGAUCGG
rnacentral:rRNA from 1 species